GACGAACGCUGGCGGCGUGCUUAACACAUGCCAGUCGAACGGAAAGGCCCUGCUUUUGUGGGGUGCUCGAGUGGCGAACGGGUGAGUAACACGUGAGUAACCUGCCCUUGACUUUGGGAUAACUUCAGGAAACUGGGGCUAAUACCGGAUAGGAGCUCCUGCUGCAUGGUGGGGGUUGGAAAGUUUCGGCGGUUGGGGAUGGACUCGCGGCUUAUCAGCUUGUUGGUGGGGUAGUGGCUUACCAAGGCUUUGACGGGUAGCCGGCCUGAGAGGGUGACCGGCCACAUUGGGAAUGAGAUGCGGCCCAGACUCCUACGGGAAGCAGCAGUGGGGAAUAUUGCACAAUGGGCGGAAGCCUGCUGCAGCAACGCCGCGUGCGGGAUGACGGCCUUCGGGUUGUAAACCGCUUUCGCCUGUGACGAAGCGUGAGUGACGGUAAUGGGUAAAGAAGCACCGGCUAACUACGUG
rnacentral:rRNA from 1 species